GAGAGAGAGAGAGUUGAGCUGGAAUACUAUCGGUAGCAAAUAGGCUCCGUUGUCACCCAUUUGUUUUCAAUGAUGGAGCCUCCAAAUCGACGAUCGGCACCGUUGAAAAUGAUCUAUACCACUUGAAGUAUCUAGAAAUCAAAUUUCAUGCUUUUUCCAUAUUGUUUUCUUGUCCAUCAAGUGGGCGUAAAAAUGAAUCGCCGAAAAUGAAUAUUCUCUGAAAAGUGAUGAUAAAAAUGUUGUAAUCAUGAUCGAGAGUAUAGAUCUUAUUCUAAAUAGUUUAAAGAAUUUUCUAACCAAACUUUAAUUGAUUUGGAUAGCUUUACACCGUUUAACGAGAAAACUCCUCAUAUCAACCAUUAAAAUUACUAAUUUUGAAACCCUUCGAUCAUUAGGUAAAUGAUGUCGAAAAGAUUUGAAAUUUGAUUUCUAGAUACUUCAAAUGAUAUAGAUCAUGUUCAACGGUGCCGAUCGUCAAUUUGAAAGCUCCAUCAUCGAAAACAAAUGGUUGGCAACGGAGCCCGUUUACUACCGAUAGCAUUCCAGCUCAACUAUAUAUAUAUAUAUAUAUAUAUAUAAAAUUGAGCUCCUAUGCUUUUAAAAGUAUCAAGUUAUUGGUGCUUGUAGAUUUUUAGCCAUUGGAUUAAGAGAUAUGCGGUUAGGAUGAUGUGGGCCCCCUAAGGUUGAGUGGGUGGUUGGUUGAAUAAUAUGAUCUAACGGAUNUACAAGCACCAAGUGCUUGGUGCUUUUACAAGCACCAUAGUUGGACUCUCUCUCUCUCUCUCUCUCUCUCUCUAUAUAUAUAUAUAUAGAGUUGGGCUGCUGUGCUCUCAGGAGUACGGAGGCCUCCGUGCUCCUGAGCCGUUUUCGAUGAUGGAAUUUCCGAAUCGACGAUCAGCUCCGUUAGACUUGAUCUAACGUUUUUGAAGUUUCUAGAAAAUAAUUUUUGCGAUUUUGUGAUAUAAUUUAUUUAGCAAUCGAAAGGAUUCAAAAUCAAUAAUUUUUAACGGCUGAAAAUAAAAAUUCUAUAAAAAGUGGUGAUAUAGCACUAAAAUUUUCGAUCAGAAAUAUUGAUUUUGUUGUAUAUUGUAUAAAGAAUUUUGUAUCAAAAUUUCAUCUGAUUUGAAUACUUUUACACCGUUAAACUUGAAAACGGCAGAUAUCAAUUAUUAAAAAUUAUUGAUUUUGAAUCCUUUCAAUCACUAGGUAAAUAAUAUUAAAAAAUCGCAAAAAUUAUUUUCUAGAAACUUCAAAUACGCUAGAUCAAAUCUAACAGAACUGAUCGUCGAUUCGGAAAUUCCAUCAUCGAAAACGGCUCAGAAACACGGAGGCCUCCGUGCUCCUGAGAGCACAGCUGUCCUACUAUAUAUAU
rnacentral:lncRNA from 1 species